ensembl:lncRNA
CUCAUCUUCUAGGAUUACAGCUAAGUCACUAAAUUGCCCAGGCUGGGACUGAAUUUGCAGUCCUCCUGCCUCAGCCUACCAGAGUGCUGGGAUUACAGGUGUGCUCUACCACUCCUAGUCUGAGGAUUCUAAUCAGGAUAAAUCUUGGAAUUCAUUCUUGGAAUGCUGAGCAGAACGGAGCAUCUCCAUGAGGAGGGAUAAUCAAAUAAAUGUGCUAUGUUGGACACUGUGACGGGAAGAAGAUGGAAGAGAGAGGAUGUGAGCAUGUAUAUUUGAAGACGAGGGAAAGAGUGGCUGUGGCAGAAAAAUCAACUCGUACACUGAGUGAGUCAUGUGCAGUUUUCCGGAGUACACAGACUCUUCACCUAUGGUUGGAUUCCCAGGGGACCAUGGUUCCUAAGGUAAGGAUUCCUAGUGGAGGGUUGUGGAGCUCACCUAUCCCAGCCCUUGGGAAGCUGAGGCAGGAGGAUUGCUGCGAGUUCGAGGCCAACCUGGGCUACAUAGUGAGUUCAAGUCCAGUCUGAAUUGCGUAGUGAGAACUUGUUGCAAAAUGACCAAAGUGUGUGUGGGGGAAGAAUUCCUGAUGCAAGCAGUCCCUAAAGUACAGAAACUAUUGGUGUCGAGAGCCAUCUAGCAUGUUCACAGAGCCAGGAACUCUGGGAGUUUUAGAAGCAGAAGCCAUGUUUUCUCUGGAGUUCCUAGCUC